rfam:Protomyces lactucaedebilis strain 12-1054 BCR37scaffold_2, whole genome shotgun sequence.
GCUGGAUUGACGCAGCGGUUAGCGUUCCUGAUUGCAAAUCAGGCGGUCGUUGGUUCGAGUCCGACAUCUAGCU